rnacentral:rRNA from 1 species
UGCGUAGGCGGGAAAAUAAGUUGAAUGUGAAAUACUGAGGCUCAACCUCAGGGCUGCGUUCAAAACUAUUUUUCUUGAGUGCAGUAGAGGCAAGUGGAAUUCCCAGUGUAGCGGUAAUAUGCGUAGAUAUUGGGAGGAACACCAGUGGCGAAGGCGACUUGCUGGGCUGUAACUGACGCUGAGGCACGAAAGUGUGGGGAGCAAACAGGAUUAGAUACCCUGGUAGUCCACACUGUAAACGAUGAUUGCUAGGUGUGGGGGGAUUGACCCCUUCCGUGCCGGAGUUAACACAAUAAGCAAUCCACCUGAGUAGUACGGCCGCAAGGUUGAA